CCAAGUCAAGAAAUUUGAAUUUCAACCUGUUAACCAAAUAUGACACGCACUUGGGUUGUUUCCAGCCAAAGGUCAAUCCCUUGGGUGAAGGUCAAUGUUACUGGGCUCAAAUGUCAGAUUGCUGUAGUUCUUACUGUCUUUGUGGUCAUGGGUACUACCAGUGUUGAAACAAAAAAAAAAAAAAGAGAAACAAUAACAUAUAUCUCCAAAUGAGUCUAAAUAAAAUACACACUGUGAUUUACCAAAAAAUACAUAAAGCACAUUUCUGAACAAAUACAAUCGUACUGUGUGAAUAAAUGGCAAGAUGUAUACAAUGAAUAUAAAAAUGACAUUUGGGAUACUAGUUUGUCCUACUUUACAAUGUAAACAUAGUAAAUAAUGAUUCCGGGACUGGAAAGGCUAGAAUGUUGACUAUCCUGUACACCUUCGACAGAGCACAUUAGCUGCGACACUCACGUUAUUACUGCACCUCUACUUCCAUGUUUAUAUUAACAUGCACACACUCACUCACACUAUUGCACAAAACCUCUUAAAUCGGAAUCUUUCCAAACAAAUAUUGAUUUAUAUUCCAAGUCUGACAAAUAAAGUACAACUUGACAUUGGGGUCGACA